rnacentral:rRNA from 1 species
AUUGAACGCUGGCGGCAGGCCUAACACAUGCAAGUCGAGCGGUUGAAGGGUGCUUGCUCCUGGAUUCAGCGGCGGACGGGUGUGUAAUUCCUAGGUAUCUGCCUGUUAGUGGGGGAUAACGUCCGUAAACGGGCGCUAAUACCGCAUACGUCCUUAGGUUGAAAGUGGGGGUUCUUCGGUCCUCUCGCUUUCUGAUGUGCCUAGGUCGGAUUAGCUAGUUGGUGGGGUAAAGUCCUACCAAGGCGACGAUCCGUAACUGCUCUGAGAGGAUGAUCAGUCACACUGGAACUGAGAAACGGUCCAGACUCCUACGGGAGGCAGCAGAGGGGAAUAUUGGACAAUGGGCGAAAGCCUGAGACAGCCAUGCCGCGUGUGUGAAGAAGGUCUUCGGAUUGUAAAGCACGGUAAGUUGGGAGGAAGGGCAGUAAGUUAAUACCUUGCUGUAUUGACGUUAACAACAGAAAAAGCACCGGCUAACUACGUG